UGCGGAGGAAAAGAAACCAACUGGGAUUACCUUAGUAACGGCGAGUGAAGCGGUAAAAGCUCAAAUUUGAAAUCUGGUACUUUCAGUGCCCGAGUUGUAAUUUGUAGAAUUUGUCUUUGAUUAGGUCCUUGUCUAUGUUCCUUGGAACAGGACGUCAUAGAGGGUGAGAAUCCCGUUUGGCGAGGAUACCUUUUCUCUGUAAGACUUUUUCGAAGAGUCGAGUUGUUUGGGAAUGCAGCUCAAAGUGGGUGGUAAAUUCCAUCUAAAGCUAAAUAUUGGCGAGAGACCGAUAGCGAACAAGUACAGUGAUGGAAAGAUGAAAAGAACUUUGAAAAGAGAGUGAAAAAGUACGUGAAAUUGUUGAAAGGGAAGGGCAUUUGAUCAGACAUGGUGUUUUUUGCAUGCACUCGCCUCUCGUGGGCUUGGGCCUCUCAAAAAUUUCACUGGGCCAACAUCAAUUCUGGCAGCAGGAUAAAUCAUUAAGAAUGUAGCUACUUCGGUAGUGUUAUAGCUUUUUGGAAUACUGUUAGCCGGGAUUGAGGACUGCGCUUCGGCAAGGAUGUUGGCAUAAUGGUUAAAUGCCGCCCGUCUG
rnacentral:rRNA from 1 species